rnacentral:RNase_P_RNA from 2 species
GCGUUCGGGUAAUCGCUGCGGGCAUUAUGUUCGCAGAGGAAAGUCCAUGCUCGCACAGUGCUGAGAUGCCUGUAGUGAUCGCGCCUGGCGAAACCAUAAGCCAGGGCAGCUUUUAGCUGACGGCAGGGAAAACACCUACGUCUUCGGAUAUGGUGUGAAUACCUUGAAAGUGCCACAGUGACGUAGCUUUGCCGGAAACGGUGAAGGUGGAACGAGGUAAACCCCGUGAGUGAGCAACCCAAAUUUUGGUAGGGGCACCUUCCGGACGGAACUGAACGGAUGGAAGGGCAAAGUGUAUGCUUUGCAGAUAGAUGAUUGCCGCCGGAGUACGAGACCAUACCCUGGUCGCUUGCAGUACGAUGGAACAAAACAUGGCUUACAGAA